rnacentral:rRNA from 1 species
UACGGGGGGAGCAAGCGUUGUUUGGAUUUACUGGGCGUAAAGGGCGCGUAGGCGGCCACCGCAAGUCAAUUGUGAAAUCUCCGGGCUCAACCCGGAAAGGUCAACUGAUACUGCGGGGCUAGAGUGCAGAAGGGGCAACUGGAAUUCUCGGUGUAGCGGUGAAAUGCGUAGAUAUCGAGAGGAACACCUGCGGCGAAGGCGGGUUGCUGGGCUGACACUGACGCUGACAGCGCGAAAGCUAGGGGAGCGAACGGG